GUAUAACAACCAAAAUUCUAAAAUAGUCCACAUAAAUAACACGUACCAAUUACUCAUACACCAAACAGGCUGGCGAUACAAAUGUUAAUGUUAGCCAUACAUACCUGGAGUCAAAUUUCCUUUUUUUAACUCUUACUUUCAAUUCACCAAACUGCCUAGCACUGUCAAUCUGGUUUACAAGUUACACAUAUAUCUUAGAAUUGAAAUUUCAAAAUACAACCCGAACUCACUUAGAUGAUC
rnacentral:lncRNA from 1 species